GUUGAGGUCAACCCGGUGGGGCUUUUUCUGUAGACCUACAUCGCUGGAAAUGCCUCACAGAGUAGAUGCGUCGUUUCCUUUAUUCACAGAACUAUGUGUUAGAUCUGUGGGAAAGAACUACAAGACAUCU
ensembl:snoRNA